AGUGAGCGCUGGCGGUAGGCCUAACACAUGCAAGUCGAACGGCAGCACAGUAAGAGCUUGCUCUUACGGGUGGCGAGUGGCGGACGGGUGAGGAAUACAUCGGAAUCUACUUUUUCGUGGGGGAUAACGUAGGGAAACUUACGCUAAUACCGCAUACGACCUGCGGGUGAAAGCAGGGGAUCUUCGGACCUUGCGCGAUUGAAUGAGCCGAUGUCGGAUUAGCUAGUUGGCGGGGUAAAGGCCCACCAAGGCGACGAUCCGUAGCUGGUCUGAGAGGAUGAUCAGCCACACUGGAACUGAGACACGGUCCAGACUCCUACGGGAGGCAGCAGUGGGGAAUAUUGGACAAUGGGCGCAAGCCUGAUCCAGCCAUACCGCGUGGGUGAAGAAGGCCUUCGGGUUGUAAAGCCCUUUUGUUGGGAAAGAAAAGCAGCAGGUUAAUACCCCGCUGUUCUGACGGUACCCAAAGAAUAAGCACCGGCUAACUUCGUG
rnacentral:rRNA from 1 species